GACGAACGCUGGCGGCGUGCUUAACACAUGCAAGUCGAACGGAAAGGCCUCUUUCGGGGGGUACUCGAGUGGCGAACGGGUGAGUAACACGUGAGUAACCUGCCCUUGACUUUGGGAUAACUUCAGGAAACUGGGGCUAAUACCGGAUAGGAGCUCCUGCUGCAUGGUGGGGGUUGGAAAGUUUCGGCGGUUGGGGAUGGACUCGCGGCUUAUCAGCUUGUUGGUGGGGUAGUGGCUUACCAAGGCUUUGACGGGUAGCCGGCCUGGGAGGGUUACCGGCCACAUUGGGACUGAGAUACGGCCCAGACUCCUACGGGAGGCAGCAGUGGGGAAUAUUGCACAAUGGGUGGGAGCCUGAUGCAGCAACGCCGUGUGCGGGAUGACGGCCUUCGGGUUGUAAACCGCUUUCGCUCAUGACGAAGCUUUGUGUGACGGUAGUGGGUAAAGAAGCACCGGCUAACUACGUG
rnacentral:rRNA from 1 species